AGCGAACGCUGGCGGCAGGCCUAACACAUGCAAGUCGAACGAACCCUUCGGGGUUAGUGGCGGACGGGUGAGUAACACGUGGGAACGUGCCUUUAGGUUCGGAAUAACUCAGGGAAACUUGUGCUAACACCGAAUGUGCCCUUCGGGGGAAAGAUUUAUCGCCUUUAGAGCGGCCCGCGUCUGAUUAGCUAGUUGGUGAGGUAAAAGCUCACCAAGGCUACGAUCAGUAGCUGGUCUGAGAGGAUGACCAGCCACAUUGGGACUGAGACACGGCCCAAACUCCUACGGGAGGCAGCAGUGGGGAAUCUUGCGCAAUGGGCGAAAGCCUGACGCAGCCAUGCCGCGUGGAUGAUGAAGGUCUUAGGAUCGUAAAAUCCUUUCACCGGUGAAGAUAAUGACUGUAGCCGGAGAAGAAGCCCCGGCUAACUUCGUGCCAGCCGCCGCGGUAACAC
rnacentral:rRNA from 1 species